UAACAAGGAUUCCCCUAGUAACUGCGAGUGAAGCGGGAAGAGCUCAAAUUUAAAAUCUGGCGGCUUCUAGUCGUCCGAGUUGUAACCUGGAGAGGCAUUUUCCGCGUUGGACCGUGUACAAGUCUCCUGGAAUGGAGCGUCAUAGAGGGUGAGAAUCCCGUCCAUGACACGGACCGCCAAUGCUCUGUGAUAUGCCUUCAAAGAGUCGCGUUGUUUGGGAAUGCAGCGCAAAAUGGGUGGUAAAUUCCAUCUAAAGCUAAAUAUUGGCGAGAGACCGAUAGCGAACAAGUACCGUGAGGGAAAGAUGAAAAGCACUUUGGAAAGAGAGUUAAACAGUACGUGAAAUUGUUGAAAGGGAAACGCUUGAAGUCAGUCGCGUUCCGUGGAACUCAGCCUUACUUCGGUUUGGUGUACUUUCCAUGUGAACGGGUCAACGUCAAUUUUGACUGGUGGACAAAGACAAAGGGAAUGUAGCGUUGCUUCGGUGACGUGUUAUAGCCCCUUGUUGUAUACACCGGCUGGGAUUGAGGACUGCAGCACGCCCUUGUGGCCGAGGGGUUCGCCCCUACGUACCGUGCUUAGGAUGUUGGCAUAAUGGCUUUAAGCGACCCGUCUUGAAACACGGACCAAGGAGUCUAACAUGCUUGCGAGUGUUCGGGUGGAAAACCCCUGCGCGUAAUGAAAGUGAAAGUUAGGAACCUUCUCGCAAGAGAGGGUGCACUGACGCCCGGCCCUGACGUUCUCUGACGGUGCUGCGGUAGAGCAAGUAUGUUGGGACCCGAAAGAUGGUGAACUAUGCCUGAAUAGGGCGAAGCCAGAGGAAACUCUGGUGGAGGCUCGUAGCGAUUCUGACGUGCAAAUCGAUCGUCAAAUUUGGG
rnacentral:rRNA from 1 species